rnacentral:rRNA from 1 species
AGGAUGAACGCUGGCGGCGUGCCUAAAACAUGCAAGUCAUACGGGCUACCUUCGGGUAGCCAGUGGCAAACGGGUGAGUAACACGUGGGAACGCGCCUUGGGGUGGGGAAUAACGCUGAGAAAUCAGUGCUAAUACCGCAUACGGUCUAACGACUAAAGCAGCAAUGCGCCCCGAGAGCGGCCCGCGACCGAUUAGCUAGUUGGUGGGGUAAUGGCCUACCAAGGCGGUGAUCGGUAGCUGGUCUGAGAGGAUGGUCAGCCACACUGGGACUGCGAACGGCCCAGACUCCUACGGGAGGCAGCAGUUAGGAAUUUUCGGCAAUGGACGAAAGUCUGACCGAGCGACGCCGCGUGGAGGAUGACGCCUUUCGGGGUGUAAACUCCUUUUCUGCGGGAAGAUAAUGACGGUACCGCGAGGAAUAAGCACCGGCUAACUACGUGCCAGCAGCCGC